AUGACAUUGGUUAUUUUAUAUUUAUGAGGUAUUAUGUUUCUGUUAGAAAAUCAUGUAGAAUUACAUGCAUAGAUUUCAAAAUAAUUUUGAAAGGUAGCAGAAAUGAUCUAGGUUAAAUCUUUUAACCCCAAAUAGAUUUAAUCUAUAUCUAUCCGAGCUCUAGAUUUAAGACAUACAUAUAAUCUGAAAAUAAAAUAAAAAAUUUGAGAUCGAAUCUCAAUACCUUGUGUGGGUUAAAAUACACCGCAAUCGAUGAUCCUAGAUCUAAAGGUUCUUAAGCCACACACAUGUCCGACCUGUAUAAGUAUCCACCGGGAUCAAUCUUGAACCUUUUUUCUCAUUGUAGAUCCUUCUUCUCCAAAAGAAAUCUCUACUUUUUGAAUCUUUGAUCAAUCCUUGAUCUUUGACCAUGAACUCAAUAUUUAAACCACAGCCUUUCUCCUCGUUCUUGAUACAGAAUCAAACACCCUCCUCAACUUGGGCAUGUGGAAGAUGGGAUGCCCAACACUUGGGCAUUGGAAAGAGAGGAAGAAGGGGAGAUGGUGUGGAGGUGGAGAGAGGAGAUCUGAAAUCACAAAAAUAAUUCUUCUAGGAAACCUUAAGAGACC
rnacentral:lncRNA from 1 species